rnacentral:rRNA from 1 species
AAUUUUGGACAAUGGGGGAAACCCUGAUCCAGCCAUCCCGCGUGUAUGAUGAAGGNCUNNGGGUUNUNAAGUACUUUUGGCAGNNNNNAAAAGGUAUCUNCUAAUACGAGAUACUGCUGGCGGGAUCUGCAGAAUAAGAACCGGCUACCUGCGGGCCAGCAGCCGCGGUAAUACGUCGGGUGCAAGCGUUAAUAGGAAUUAUUGGGGGUAAAGCGUGUGUAGGCGGUUCGGAAAGUAAGAUGUGAAAUCCCAGGGCUCAACCUUGGAACUGCAUUUUUAACUGCCGAGCUAGAGUAUGUCAGAGGGGGGUAGAAUUCCACGUGUAGCAGUGAAAUGCGUAGAUAUGUGGAGGAAUACCGAUGGCGAAGGCAGCCCCCUGGGAUAAUACUGACGCUCAGACACGAAAGCGUGGGGAGCAAACA